rnacentral:lncRNA from 1 species
AUCAUGGCAAUGCUAAAAGUGAAGGAAGAGGAAGCCAUACUACAAGGCCAAGUUGACAUUUUGCGUACAACUACUUUGUUGAAAGCAUGGCCUUGAAGUGUGCUGUGGAGCUUGGCAUUGCAGACAUCAUAAACUCUCGUGGCCAAGACCUUGUCUCAAAUUGCAGCACAAAUCGCCUCACCUUCAAUAUCUCCUCUCACGUCUCAUGAGAUUUUUCCAAUCUAUAAUAAUUACCACCUUCCCAAUUUUCUCAAAGAUAGCUUCGCGACAAUUCUUCAGAAUUUUAAUGCAUUUCUCAUUAUUCCAAUUGUGCAGUAUCCACUUAAUCAAAGGUUCGACCUAACGAUGAUGACACAAACCAUAAGUGGGAAGGAGAUAAGUGAAGUUGAAUGGAAGAAGCUGCUGAGGUUGCAUUGAUCAAAUUGAUGGGUGCAAUUGGAAGCUCAAAAUAAGGUUUUGUUCAACCAUUGCUGGGCUGUGCUCAACCCACCAAGCUCCAGGCUAAAAGCCCUGUAAGGCCUCCCUCAAUUGGGUGUUUUAUGAUUUUCACAAGUCCAAAAUAGAAGCUGUUCAUCAAUAUCACCAUUGUCUGACAAAACACAACUUUAGAGUAAUGUCUACUUGACAAAAUCAACAGCCAUCUUUUGGAAACCAAUUAUUUACUAGCUUUCAACUUAUACGUACGAUACACAAAUGAACAAAUUUGAUCUAAGAGCAUAAUAUUUAUAUUCGAUUUGCCAAAGAAACAAAUUUGAUUCCAUGUGGAAAAUUGAGAAGGUUCGAGUUAUACUUGAACAUGUACUACACAUGAAAAAGAUAAUAUAAUUUGUACUUGG